UAUGGAUGUGAUGAGUUAGGAUUACCGCCCCAGUCUGAAGAGUCAUGAUUGAUUGGUAUUCUCUGAUCCAUA